UUUCUUUCUUUCCUCUUUGUCCUGUACAAGUGUUUAUGUCUGAGCGCCUGACAAAACCGAAGGGUGGAGGGGAAGACUCGAAUUUCAUCGUAAUGGGCUCAUGGAUAUCUAGGGUUACAGAGAUUGAAAACACGACAGACCAGACUCUGGAACUGAGAGAAUGUCCGGAGGGUGAUCCAGAAGGGAAAGGAAGUGAACCAAUUCUGCUUCAUCCGCACAAGUCCAAGUGGAUCCCUGCAACUAAAUUCUGUCAACACAGCCACGAUGCCGCUAGACCACGGCACUUAAUUCUGGUUUCCUCCAACGGGGGUGGAGGGAAUCCUGAGACCUUCGCCACAACUGAUUUCAUCACCUUCGAAAAGUUCGUUAUCUUUCGGAUGGAAAACGGGAACAUCGGGGUCCAGACAACCCGUGCUAAAGGGACCGGAUUCCUAAGAAUCAAGUUGGUCAAAUGCUUAAUCAGUUUCAUUCAGCUACGAUGAGCAAGCAGAUACGAGAACCUUGCAGGUUUUGAGAGAGACAACUUUGUAAAAACAAUACCAUUCUCUUUCAAGGGCUAUAUAUACCAUACCUUAUGAAGAAAUAAGAAUAUGUUGUGUUGUUAAAGGACGAAGAACCCAAUUAUAGAAACUUAGAGUUUGUUUGGGAGUGAUUCUAGGAGGGCUAAAUUAGUUAUGGGCAUAAACACAUCCUGCACGCUACUCCAUAUAAUCUCUUUAAGUGAUUUUAAUUAAGCCAUUUUCGGGAGAAGCACAUCCAAUGUGCCUCUUCAUAAAAUCA